rnacentral:lncRNA from 1 species
AAUAACCAUGUGCUAAAAUGCUCUAGUUUUGACACCAUGUGAUUUGUUCUUGUGUUAUAAACUGUAUAGUUUUAGGAAUAAGGAUUAAAGGGAUAUUGUCUUUCAUUUUUUAUUAUUGCCAAAAUUCUUUAUAGAUACUAUCCCUUUUGACUUCAAACAUAUUUAUAAAACUUAAGCACUGUAGAUAUUGUUGUUAACUUUUGUAAAGGGAAAUAUAUUAAUAUAGUGCAAUAGUUAUUGCAUUUAAUUUGUUUAUGUAAUGUAAUUUUAUUUGUUUAUGCUUGAAAUUAAUGAGGUAAAAAGAUUUACAUGCAGUGCAAUGUAUUUUUACCACAAUGUUAUUUGAUUUUUUAUUUGUCUUCUACAACUUUUCUUGUUUUAAAGUUGUAGAAGACAAAUAGUGUUAGACAUUGCCAUCAUUUGCCCAUCCACAGACGAGGUCUAACAGUACACCAGUAAGUUUAAAGGGUUGUUUGGUAUCUCUUUUAUGAAGAGGACUUGUAUAAAUAUUCUCUUAUGAAGUCAGCUGCCUAAUUUGAAGUAAUGUAAUGUAUGUAUGAAUACUCCUUAUGAUUUGCAACCCAAUUUAGCCAAAACUUAUCAUUAUGACCUCUAUAACUGUAAUGAAAUAAAAUACAUUAAAGGAAAUGUAAUAAGAUGUUUUUUGGGCAGAAUAUAUCUUCAGUUAUCAACUGAUAAUUUUUGAACUAAUAUGACCCCUUUAAACAAUAUAAUACACAUCAAGUGAAAUACCAAGUUAGCUGGAAUAGUUGAACACUCUUCUACGAGAUUUUUAUUCUAAAGACUGAAUCUUACAUUAGAGUAAUCUACCAUCAUGAAUAUUAAGGCCCUUGAAAUGGGAUAAACAACUUGAAUACAAAACUUAAUUUCUCUCUUUUUUUCUUAUUUCAAAGGAGUAGGUCCAGUAAGACCCCUUUUUGACCCCAAACUAUAGCGGUUUUACAAAAUUGUUCAAAUGUAAACUAUUAGUUAUUUAUUGGAAAGUAGAAUGCUUCUACUACAUAAAUAUGAGCUGUUUUUGACAAAACAAUGCACAUAUAUUGGGUACCACCAUCAUUAAGUCAUGCUAAAUUACUGAAAUCUUCACAGUUUUAGCAUUUUAGUUAAAUUUUAGACAGUUUCCGUCUUAAAUGAAAGUUUCAGCAUUUGUGUUUAUUCUUAAUAUUGAAAUGUAAGUAAUAU